GAAAAAUGUGAUAUUUUCAGCCUUGGGGUGAUAAUGUGGGAGCUUUGCACACUAAAUAGACCAUGGAAAGGAGUGCCGCCAGAAAGGGUAGUUUAUGCUGUUGCUAAUGAGGGAUCCCGUUUGGAGAUUCCUGAAGGUCCACUGGGCAAGUUAAUUUCAGAUUGUUGGGCAGAGCCAAACGAACGGCCAAGCUGUGAAGAGAUACUCUCCCGUUUGCUCGACUGCGAGUACACACUCUGCUGAGUCGUUUUCGUAUGUAUAGAAAAACACGAUAGAGGCUUUGCAAUGUGUUUCGGCUAAAUUGUAAACUGUUUGAUUUUCUGUCAUUGGGAAAAACAUCAAAUGCUUCAAUUUUCAGAUGUCAAUGGAACCGUUGAAUCUUUCUGUGCGAGUGAAAAGAGUGG
rnacentral:misc_RNA from 1 species